rnacentral:rRNA from 1 species
AUCGAUGAAGAACGCAGCGAAAUGCGAUAAGUAAUGUGAAUUGCAGAAUUCAGUGAAUCAUCGAAUCUUUGAACGCACAUUGCGCCCCCUGGUAUUCCGGGGGGCAUGCCUGUUCGAGCGUCAUUUCACCACUCAAGCCUCGCUUGGUAUUGGGCGUCGCGAGCCUCUCGCGCGCCUCAAAGUCUCCGGCUGUUUGACCCGUCUCCCAGCGUUGUGACAAGUUUCGCAGUGGAGUUCGAGUAACAUGGCCGUUAAAAUCUUUCAAAGGUUGACCUCGGAUCAGGUAGGGAUACCCGCUGAACUUAAGCAUAUCAAUAAGCGGAGGAAAAGAAACCAACAGGGAUUGCCCUAGUAACGGCGAGUGAAGCGGCAACAGCUCAAAUUUGAAAUCUGGCGCAAGCCCGAGUUGUAAUUUGUAGAGGAUGCUUCUAGGUAGCGACCGGUCUAAGUUCCUUGGAACAGGACGUCAUAGAGGGUGAGAAUCCCGUAUGUGACCGGCCCGCACCUUCUACGUAGCUCCUUCGACGAGUCGAGUUGUUUGGGAAUGCAGCUCUAAAUGGGAGGUAAAUUUCUUCUAAAGCUAAAUACCGGCCAGAGACCGAUAGCGCACAAGUAGAGUGAUCGAAAGAUGAAAAGCACUUUGGAAAGAGAGUUAAAAAGCACGUGAAAUUGUUGAAAGGGAAGCGCUUACAACCAGACUUCUGGGCGGUGUUCCGCCGGUCUUUUGACCGGUCUACUCGCCGUCCCGAGGCCAACAUCAUCUGGGACCGCUGGAUAAGACCUCAGGAAUGUAGCUUCCCUCGGGAAGUGUUAUAGCCUGUGGUGAUGCAGCGCGUCUCGGGUGAGGUCCGCGCUUCGGCAAGGAUGUUGGCGUAAUGGUUGUCAGCGGCCCGUCUUG